rnacentral:rRNA from 1 species
GACAUAGGUCGCAAACGUUAUCCGGAAUUAUUGGGCGUAAAGGAUGCGUAGAUGGUUCAGUAAGUUACUGGUGGGAAAUCGAGGCCCAACCUCGUGGAAGUUAGUAAUACUGUUGAACUUGAGUGCAGGAGAGGUUAACGGAACUUCAUGUGGAGCGGUAAAAUGCGUAGAUAUAUGAAAGAACAUCAAUAAUGGCGAAGGCAGUUAACUAUUCUGCUACUGACAUUUGAGGCAUGAAAAGCGUGGGGAGCAAAACGG